rnacentral:lncRNA from 1 species
UAUACAGUAAGUAUCCUACCAACUGAGCCAUCUCCCCCAGACUCCCCCUCCCCCCUGCUUGUUAUUUAUUUUUGAGACUGUGUUUUAAUUAUAACACUUCUUUCUCCCUCCACACCUUCCCAUACAGCCCCUCUCCCCACUCUCCUUCAAAUUCACAGCCUCAUUUUUUUAAUUAGUUGUCAUUGUAUGCAUAUAUGUCUUUGUAUAUAUUUAUCCACUCCUAAAUAUAACCUGUUGAGUCUAUACAAUGUUACUUGUAUAUAUGUUCUCAGGCUCUUUGGCACUGGACAACCAACUGGUAUGCUCUUUUCUAAGAAGAGCCAUCUGUCCCUCUCAGGUUUAAUUAGUUGCCUAUAGUCCUUUAUGUGGGGUUGAGGCCCCAUGGGCUUCCACCUUGUAUACCUAAGCAUGUUUCUUGGUGCCCUCUUUGUUCAGCUCAUGCUUGGGUCAUGUUGGUGAGAUUUGACAUGUAUAGCUUCUGGUGUUAGUAGGAGACACAGACUCACAACUAACUUCCAAUCUUUCUGCUCUGUUUUCCAUGGGGCAUGGAAAGUGUAGGAGUGUUUAGUAGGUAGUAGUAGUCCAUUGGGACUGGCCUCACAGCUCUGCCUAGCUUUUGGCUGUGAUUUUCUGUGGUGCUCUCUGUCUGCUGCACAGAGAAGUUUCCUUGGUUAGGAUGGGAGACUGUAUAUAUGUGUGGGUCUAAGGACAGAUGUUUACAGAUUGCUGUUAGGCUUAUGCUGGUUGAGUAAAUGAGUUUUGUAGCCUUUUCUCCAAUAACUAUAACUUCACUAGUACUGAAACAGUUAGCUAGGUUUCCUGUCUCGGGCAUGGUCUCCCUCUUGUUGAAUGGGCCUUAAGUCCAAUCAGAGAGCCAUUGGUUUCCACGAAGGUAUGUGUGACACUGCUGCACCUGUAGGUUACUGUGCCAUGCUUGUCCUUGAUGUGGUUCGUAGGCACCAUGGCUAGGUAGGAGUGUUGGUCGCUUCGUUCCUUUGGAAGCUUAUGUGUUGCCUUCUGAACCCAACUCCCUUUUAAAAUAUUUUUAUUUAUUCCUUAAUAAUUUUAAUAUAUAUAUACAUAUAUAUUUAUGUAUUUAUUUUAUAUAUGUGAGUACACUGUUGCUGUCUUCAGUCACACCAGAAGAGGGCAUCAGAUCCCAUUACAGAUGGUUGUGAGCCACCGUGUGGUUACUGGGAAUUGAACUCGGGACCUCUGGAAGAGUAGUCAGAGCUCUU